rnacentral:rRNA from 1 species
UACGUAGGGGGCAAGCGUUGUCCGGAUUUAUUGGGCGUAAAGAGCGUGUAGGCGGCCAGGUAGGUCUGCUGUGAAAACUCGAGGCUCAACCUCGAGACGCCGGUGGAAACCAUCAGGCUAGAGUCCGGAAGAGGAGAGUGGAAUUCCUGGUGUAGCGGUGAAAUGCGCAGAUAUCAGGAAGAACACCCGUGGCUAAGGCGGCUCUCUAGUACGGUACUGACGCUGAGACGCGAAAGCGUGGGGAGCGAACAGG